rnacentral:lncRNA from 1 species
CUGAUUGUUUUGGGGGGCAGUGCAGCAUGAGGGUGGACAGGCAGGCUGGGGGCAGAGUGCGUGGGGCCCUGCAGGUGCCACUGCUUCUCAGAGAGGCUGAACCCCCUCUGAGUAACCCCCAUCCUGUAGACUCCCUGACCGGGCAUGAAUGAAGCCUGCACCCCCGAGGGCUCGCUGUAGCAUAGCAGGUGCAUCCAAACAUGCCACUCAGGCAGAGGCGUGCGCUGUGUGGCCAGUUCUUUUUAUUUGAUUUUAUUCUUUUUUAAGAUUUUAUUUAUUUAUUUUGAAGAGAGAGAGAGAGAGCAAGCACGUGAGCAGGGGGAGGAGCAGAGGGAGAGAAGAGAGAGAGUCUCAAGCAGACUCCAGGCUGAGUGCGGAGCCUGAUGCGGGGCUCAAUCCCGCAACCCUGAGAUCAUGACCUGAGCCGAAACCGAGCGUCAGACACUUACCCAACUGAGCUGCCCAUGCACCUCAACACCUCCCCUCCCCAAUUCUCCUUUUGACUCUGCUACUUUUAAAGGAAAACUCUCUGGUAUAAAGUUUGCUCUUGAGGGGCGCCUGGGUGGCUCAGUGGUUAAGCGUCUGCCUUCGGCUCUGGUCAUGAUCCCAGGGUCCUGGGAUCAAGCCCUCUCCCACUCCCCCUGCUGGUGUUCCCUCUCUUGCUGUGUCUCUCUCUGUCAAAUAAAUAAAAUCUUUAAAAAAAAAAAAAAAAGAGUUUGCUCUUGGGAUGCCCUGAGGUUGCCAAUACAGUUUUCUGGCUGAGCUUUCUUUCCUUUUAUUUCCAUCUAGCACCCAGCCUAGCUCCAGGAAUUUGGUUGCUUGCUGGUCCAGAACAGUGGAUGGGACAUUUUGGAGACAAGUGUUUCCCCACUGGCAUGGUGCUCAAGGCCUGGGAAAGUGCAGUCUCUGUUGGCCAGCCAAAAUGGACGAUAGUGGCACCCAAGGACACCAGAAUGGCCGGGAAGGUUGGCCUCAGCUCAUGAAAUCCAGUUUCCAGCAGCCCCCUGGACACCAGCUCAGCUCCCCGCUGAGCUCUCCAUGGAGGAGGCACCACCAAGGGCUUCGCUGGAGGAGGUAAGCAG